rnacentral:ncRNA from 1 species
UUUUUUGAGAGUUUGAUCCUGGCUCAGGAUGAACGCUGGCGGUGUGUCUAAGGCAUGCAAGUCGAGCGACGCCCCUGACUUCGGUUGGGGAUACGAGCGGCAAACGGGAGAGUAACACAUUGGUAACCUGCCUCCAAGACGGGGAUAGCCCAUCGAAAGGUGGAUUAAGACCCGAUAGUCAUGAGGGGACGUGAAGUCAUUCUCAUGUAAACAAUUUUUUGCUUGGAGAGGGGCCUAUGUCUGAUUAGCUAGUUGGUGAGGUAAUGGCUCACCAAGGCUCUGAUCAGUACCGGGCGUGAGAGCGUGACCCGGCUCACUGGGACUGAGAACUGCCCAGACUCCUACGGGAGGCUGCAGUCAAGAAUAUUCCACAAUGCACGAAAGUGUGAUGGAGCGACACCGCGUGUAGGAAGACGCCCUUCGGGGUGUAAACUACUUUUCUCAGGGAAGAAUUUGUGACGGUACCUGAGGAAUAAGAGGUUGCAAACUCUGUGCCAGCAGCAGCGGUAAUACAGAGACCUCAAGCGUUAUCCGGAUUCAUUGGGCGUAAAGCGUCCGCAGGUUGUUUUGCAAGUUGGUGGUCAAAUCUUUGGGCUUAACUCAGAGACUGCUUCCAAUACUGCAAAACUCGAGGCUGGGAGAGGCACGCGGAACUGUCGGUGUAGUAGUAAAAUGCGUUGAUAUCGACAGGAACACCAAAGGCGAAGGCAGUGUGCUAGAACAGCUCUGACACUCAUGGACGAAAGCGUGGGAAGCGAAUGGGAUUAGAUACCCCAGUAGUCCACGCCCUAAACAAUGCGUACUAGGUAUUGGGAGUAUCGACCCUCUCAGUGCCGUUUUAAAAAGCUAA